rnacentral:rRNA from 1 species
UACGGGGGGUGCGAGCGUUGUCCGGAAUCACUGGGCGUAAAGGGCGCGUAGGUGGUUUGAUAAGGGUGUGGUGAAAGUCCGGAGCUCAACUCCGGAUCUGCCGUGCCGACUGUCAAACUCGAGGGCUGUAGAGGCAGACGGAAUUCCGGGUGUAGCGGUGGAAUGCGUAGAGAUCCGGAGGAAGACCGGUGGCGAAGGCGGUCUGCUGGGCGAGUUUCUGACACUGAGGCGCGACGAGCGUGGGGAGCAAACAGG